rnacentral:lncRNA from 1 species
UUCUUAAUGGGCAAGUUUGUAUGGUUAUAAAUAGGUGAAGUCUCUAUAGGGUUAGGUAUGAGAAAAAGAUGUAAGGGAGUUGUAGGAUUUUGUGGGAUAGACACCCCAUAGGAGUAUUAGGGCUCUACGUCUUAUGGGUUGUAUAUUUGUUUGUGAGUGGACUAGAAGAGAUUGAGAGGUCCACAUAGGAGAGGGUCCACAUAGGUAUGAUGUAUAGGAACAUAUGGGUAUGUGUUUGGUUGUGUUGAAAGGGUGCACAAGGGUUUGGUUUGUGUUUGUUAGGUUGAAUACUUCAUAGGACUAGAGGAAAUUGAGAGUGUCUUAUGAGUAUUGAUUGUUGAGUGAAGUUGAUGAUUUGAUGUAUGUUUGUAAUUCUCUAUAACUAGUGGAUCUUUUUUCUCAUCCGUGGAUGUAGGUCAGUUGGACCGAACCACGUUAAAUUAUUCUCUUGUGUGUUUGAUUUAUUGUUUGAUUUCGCUUCCGCUGGUGUGAUUGGAUUAGGGGCUUUUAGCCCAACAAAUGGUAUCAGAGCUGUGGUGUUCCCCAACAAGUGUUAUCAGAGCUGAAAGUUCGAAACGUGAAAAGAGUCAAAUGUUUGAGAUGUGGGAAGAGUUGAUGGUUCGAGACAUGGGAAAAGUUGACAGUUCGAGAUAUGGGAAGAGCUUGGUUUGAGAUAUGAGAAGAAGUAAGCUUAGAGGAGCUCGAUUCAAGAGAAGAGUUCGAGUUCAAGUUUUGAGGAUUGGUUUCUAUGAAGCGUGAAGACACAAGAGAAGAGAAGAUGAUUGUGAGACUUUCAGUGCAGGUGGAGCCAAGCAUGUCUAGCAUGAAGAUAGAUGAUUGAUGAAAUUUGAGUCAAGGUGAAGAUUGUUGGGAAUAUUGACUCAAAUCCCAUAAAAGAUUUGUUUGAGAUUUGUUUGAGAUUUGUCAGAUAUUGCUUGAUGGGACAAGAAAACUUGCAAAAGAAGAAUUCCAAGAGAAAGAGGAUUCUUAAUAGGUAAGUUUGACUUGCAAGAGAAGAAUUCUAAAAGAAAAGAGAUUCUUAAUAGACAAGUUUGACUUACAGGAAAAGAAUUCUAAGAGGAGAGGGAUUCUUAAUGGGCAAGUUUGUAUGGUUAUAAAUAGGUGAAGUCUCUAUAGGGUUAGGUAUGAGAAAAAGAUGUAAGGGAGUUGUAGGAUUUUGUGGGAUAGACACCCCAUAGGAGUAUUAGGGCUCUACGUCUUAUGGGUGUGUAUAUUUGUUUGUGAGUGGACUAGAAGAGACUGAGAGGGUCCACAUAGGAGAGGGUCCACAUAGGUAUGAUGUAUGGGAACAUAUGGGUAUGUGUUUGGUUGUGUUGAAAGGGUGCACAAGGGUUUGGGUUUGUGUUUGUUUAGGUUGAGAAUACUUCAUAGGACUAGAGGAAAUUGAGAGUGUCUUAUGAGUAUUGAUUGUUGAGUGAAGUUGAUGAUUUGAUGUAUGUUUGUAAUUCUCUAUAACUAGUGGAUCUUUUUUCUCAUCCGUGGAUGUAGGUCAGUUGGACCGAACCACGUUAAAUUAUUCUCUUGUGUGUUUGAUUUAUUGUUUGAUUUCGCUUCCGCUGGUGUGAUUGGAUUAGGGGCUUUUAGCCCAAC